GAUGAAGAACGUAGCGAAAUGCGAUAAGUAAUGCGAAUUGCAGAAUUUAGUGAAUCAUCGAAUCUUUGAACGCACAUUGCGCCCCUUGGUAUUCCGGGGGGCAUGCCUGUUCGAGCGUCAUUUCAACCCUCAAGCUCUGCUUGGUCUUGGGCCGCGCCGGCGACGGCGGGCCUCAAAAACAGUGGCGGCGCCAUCUGGUUCCUCAGCGUAGUAAUUCUUCUCGCUGUUGGGCCCGGGUGGCCGCUGGCCAGCAACCCCAAAUUUUCUAUGGUUGACCUCGGAUCAGGUAGGGAUACCCGCUGAACUUAAGCAUAUCAAUAAGCGGAGGA
rnacentral:misc_RNA from 1 species